rnacentral:misc_RNA from 1 species
UAACCAUCGCAAAGGGAUCUUUCUCUGAGCGGAUCUGGGUGUUGCCGUAGAGGCUCGCCUUAAAUGCAUUAGCGAGGGUGUAAACCUACGGCGUGAUAACGUCUCGUCCUUACGGUGUAAGCACUCGCUCCUAAUCGCCCUCGGGCAAUUAAUCUAGCU